rnacentral:tRNA from 1 species
GCGGCAUUAGCUCAGUCGGUAGAGCACCGGCCUGUCUAGUCGGUGGCCUGGGGUUCAAGUCCCCAAUGUCGCG